AUUGUACUCCCUCCGUCCGGAAAUACUUGUCAUCAAAAUGAAUAAAAGGGGAUGUAUCUAGAUGUAUAUUAGAUACAUCCCCUUUUAUUCAUUUUGAUGACAAGUAUUUCCGGACGGAGGGAGUACAAU
rfam:Triticum aestivum genome assembly, contig: Triticum_aestivum_CS42_TGACv1_scaffold_147991_2BS